rnacentral:lncRNA from 1 species
GCUUUCCCGCCGGCGGCGGCGGCGGCCGCGGCCGCGGGCCGGGGAGACGGCCUUGCAGAGCGCGGGAUCCCAGGGCUGCGAGGGUGACCCAGAGCAAGCCCUGGCGCACGCGCGCUCCGCUCGACGCGGUGCUCCCGGGGUGCGUCUCUGCGAAACGCUCGGCCCUAACCGGCCCUGCACCCGGCGGGGGCGGCGGGCACUGAGCCGCUGGCUCUCGGCUGCCGCGAACAAAGGGCGCAGGAUUUAACCUCGGCUCUCUGGGCGUGCCUUUGCAGGCCCUCGUGCGCUCUGCUGGGGAAAAGAAAAAAAGCUUCUGCCAAUGCCAGUGCAGCUGUGUGUCCGCUGUAGUUGUGCAGGUUAAUUCUGCGCGAGCGAAAACACCGAGAAAGACGUUCAGGCACUGGAUAUCCACGCAGGCCUUAAGGAACCCCUGUGCAGCCUUGUGCCACGAGAGGAGUGGAUUCACUAACUUUCACGCUGAUUCCUCAAACCAAGUUGUUUCAUUUUUGGCCAAAACUCUUUAUGUUGAUCACUUUCCUUGAGUACCUACUGUCUGCCUAGUGUUGGAGACAUGGAAAUAAACGAUAAUUGUUUUGCCUGAAAACAGCACAGUUUAGUGGAGAGGACAGACAACUGAGCAGAUACUUACCAAAGCAUGCUUAGUGUUAGGGCACAGGCCCUGGGAAACGAGAAAGAUGCGCCUCCGACAGGAAGUCCAGGCUACAUCUGGAGGGAGGAGAGGCCUGCAGAGCCUGAUGAGGACUGCCACCAUCACCUCCCCCGAAGGAGGACCAGCUGGAGCUGAGGAGCAAGGUGGACUGAGAGAGGAGAGUGAGACCAUAAAGAGGCUUUGCUCUUCCAGAGUUUGGAUUUUGCCCCCAUAAGGCAGAGGGGAGCCCUUGAAAGGGGAAGGUGGAGUGAUGGAUGCAGUGUUCUCUCAGAAGGAUGGUGCAAAGUAGUAAGAGGAGACAGGGAAAGAAUGACCCCAGCCCCCUGGGAAAAUGAGGGCUGAAGGUGGUGGCGAUAGAGAAGGAAGAACAGAUGUUUAGGAAGUGGAGUGGAAGGGCUGAGGCAGAGUAACUGUGAGGUUAAUAAAGGGGGUGUCAAGGAGGAUGCCCACAGCCUGACUUGAUGAAUGACCUGGGUGGUGGGUUUAUGAGUCAACGUAGGGGAUUUAUGGGGAAGAAGGCGUGGGUUUGAGGGAAGACAGAAUGAUGGUUAACACUUGUCGCUUACCAUGUGCCAACGUCUGCUGACAUGCUAUUCUGUACUCUCCGUAACAGGCUUCUGGGUGAGGUGUCCAUUAGUAAUGCCCUCAUUUUAUAAUUCAGGGAGUGAGUUAAUUAAUGUGCCCAAGGUCACACAGCUGGAUCAUUUCCCUUUGGUGCCUGUGGAGUUUGAGCUGCGCCUGGGACAAGUAAGUGAGGAUGUCUAGGAGGCAGUUGGGUAAACACUUGCAGAGUCAGGAGCGAUGGCUGAGAUGAUAGAAAUCUGGGAGUCAUUAGUGCACAGCUAGUGGUGGAAGGAGCUGAAAUAGAUAGGGGGAAAAAGCCCAGGAACACGGGUAUGUAAGGGAUAAGUUGGAGGCAAGAAGAGGUGAAGAGAGAGCUCUGAAGUGAUCAGCUCUGUCUGGUGCUUGGAGUAGAAGUCCAGCAAGAUAAGAAUUGGAAAGUGCCUGACGGGUGCUACAUGCAGGGAGCUUGUCCUGCGUGUAGGCUGGCGUGGUGAGGGCAAAAGCUAGACUGAUGUGUAUCAAAGAGGGGAAGGCAGGCAGGAGAAAGUUUAUAGAAACUUGGCUGUGAAGGCAAGUUGUGAAGACAACAGAAAAAACCUGCAGGAGGAAGUGAGAGUGUUUGCUUGUGUGUUGUUUUGUUUUGAGAUGAGAGUAAUGUACUCUUUUUUAAAAUUAUUUUAUUUUAUUAUUAUUAUACUUUAAGUUUUAGGGUACAUGUGCACAAUGUGCAGGUUUGUUACAUAUGUAUACAUGUGCCAUGUUGGUGUGCUGCACCCAUUAACUCGUCAUUUAGCAUUACGUAUAUCUCCAAAUGCUAUCCCUCCCCCAGAGUAAUGUACUCUUAAUUACUUGUUAAAGGAACAAAGAAAGUAGUUUUCAAAUUUUAUUUUCGGGUCCACUCAUCUUCUACUUCAUUACCACUUCCUAUCACUACUUUUUAAUCUUCCAACUGAACUACCAUUAUAUUUUCCAAAUCCAUCUUGUUUCUGUAACAGCUGUCAUCCGCAAGACCACUAACAUUGCAUUAGAAAGUACAGACAUGAGGCUCGCGCGGUGGCUCAUGCCUGUAAUCCCAGAAUUUUUGGAGGCUGAGGCAGGCAGAUCACUUGAGGUCAGGAGUUCGAGACCAGCCUCGCCAAAAUGGUGAAACCUGGUCUCUACCAAAAAUAUAAAAAAUUAACCAGGUGUGGUGGCACGUGCCUGUAAUCCCAGCUACUCUGGAGGCUGAGGCAGGAGAAUCGCUUGAACCCGGGAGGCAGAGGUUGCAGUGAGCCGACAUCAUGCCACUGCACUUUAGCCUGGGCAAGAGAGCAAGACUCCAUCUCAAAAAAAAAAAAAAAAGUACAGAUGUGAGUAGAUCUCUGUUUCCUACCCUUUGGCAUUUGGCAUUUGGCAUUUCUGGAGAUCUACUGUCUACCAAAUUCUGUCCAAGAUCCCCACACCAUGUUUCCAGCCUGUUGCCAGGGCACAACCCAGGUUUUGUCAUUCCCUGGACACAUCUGGGAAUUGACAUGGCUGGGCCUUUGCUCUCAUAGAAAACCCCUCUCUGCUCCUCUAUAUAGGCAGGCCCAUUUAACAUCUAGUUGAUAUUGAGAUGUCACUGCCUUUUCAUUCAUUAAUCAUGUAUUGAGCAUGUACUUUGUGCCAGGCACUGUGCGGAAAAGCUUCCCCACUCUCCUUUCAGCCAGUCUUGGCAUCUUCCACCAUAUGCUUCUAUGACUCCACCAUAGCACCUCUUACCUUGUAUUGCUGUUAUCUGAAAAAAAAAAAAAAAAAAAAAAAAAAAAAAAAAAAAAAAAAGUCUGCAUUAUUCUGACAUGAUGUGCCCCCGCUGUAUCUCUACCUGUUUCUGUGAAGAGUGGCAGAACUUAAAAAUGGGUCCACAAAGCCAAAUGAGAUCCCCCUUCCCCAAUUCAUACAGUCUGCUUUCCUCUUGUGAGUCAGGGAAAUAGAUCUGGCUAAGGAAGGAUGAAGUCUUAAGCUGGGGUUGGAAAGGGGGACUUGGGAGGAGAGUAGUGAGUUGAGCUUUGGACAGGUUGCCUUGGGACUCGGUGCUUUACAGCUAUUGGGGCCUAUAAUGGUUGUUGAAUGAGGAAGUGAUAGUCCAAAGGGGGUAUUUUCUGUGUACCAUCCUACUGAGAUUUGAAUGCACAAGAAACAAGAUUUGGCUUCUAAGAUCCAUGUGCUUGAGAUAGUUAACGGAUUUUGGAGGUUCUUUCCUGGAUAGGAUUAUUUGGUUUUUAUGUUGACAGUGUUUGAGAGGUCUUUUAGCAAGUAGUUGGUAUCAGCUAGACUUUGGGUGCCUUGGCAGCAUUUUCUAGCAUUUUCCUGUUCUGAAGACAGCAGCACCUGUAUCUGUUCUGGAACAUCUGGUGGCCAUUUGCACAGCUACUGCUGGACUUCCAUCUUUAUCUCUCCAGGCAGACGAGUCGAACCUUCCAAUAGGAAAUUUUGGGUAAUGCUCAAGAAGUGAGCAGUCCAGAGCUGGUGAGGUGAUUCUGCCAUCCCCAACAUGUGAACUCCAGGGUGACUUUGCCAUUUGUCAUGAUUUUCUAGCCACAGGAUGGAGAAAGAGGAAGUAGAAGGCCUGCAGUUUCCAUUUUAGGAUGUUACAUACUUCAUGUUCACUCAUAUCCCAUUGGUCAGAGCUUGGUCACAGGGCCAUGCAAGGUGCAGGGGAGGCUGGGAAAGGUAUUUUUGGACCGGAUGACCAUGUAUCUUGCUGAAUCUCAGAAAACUUCUAUUAUUAAAGGUACUAAAGUCUGAAUGGAUAUGGGAGGAAAAUCAUUAAUCUUCACCAUGGCUGUCUUUUGCCAAGAGCCCAAUAAGGUUUGGCUGUGUCCCCACCCAAAUCUCAUCUUGAAUUGUAGCUCCUAUAAUUCCCACGUACUGUGGAAGGGACCUGGUGGGAGAUAAUUGGAUCCUGGGGGCAGGUCUUUCCCGUGCUAUUCUUGUGAUAGUGAAUAAGUCUCACAAGAUUUGAUAGUUUUGUAAAGGGGAGUUUCCCUGCACAAGCUCUCUUCUCUUGUCUGCUGCCAUGUGAGAUGUGCCUUUCACCUUCUGCCAUGAUUGUGAGGCCUCCUUAGCUACGUAGAACUGUGAGUCCAUUAAACCUCUUUCUCUUGUAAAUUGCCCAGUCUCGGGUAUGUCUUUAUCAGCAGUAUGAAAACAGACUAAUACAGAGCUAUAACAAUGAAUAAAAAAAUCAACAUUCUGAAAUUUCAUACCAUUCCUCCCAAUAGCACAGCAUGUAGAGUUGGCCACAUUUUACCUAAAUCUUUUGCCAUCACCAAAUUACUGACCUGGAAUAAUUUAAUCUUACUGCCUUCUAUCCUACCUCUUCUGCUCAGCCAAUUAAUAUUUUAGAGUCUAUUUCUCAUAGCAAACCACUUCAAAACAUAAAAUUCUGUCUCAAGUAGGAAUGCUUAUGGCUGCAAGUAAUGACAACCUGAUCAAUAGCUUAAAAAGGGGUUUAUUUUUCUCAUUACAUAAAAAGUCUAGAGUAGUGGUUUCUGGCAUUGGUUCCAAUGCUGCAGCCGAGGACUAAGACUCUUUCUUUCAUUCUGCUUGACUUUUCUUAACAUGUUGGCUUUUUGACUUCUUCUUUGUUAUUUUGUGCUUGCAAGAUGAUUGCUAUGGUUCCAGCCAUCACAUCUAUUUCUUUUUUUUUUUUUUUGAGAUGGAGUUUUGCUCUUGUUGCCCAGGCUGGAGUGCAAGGGCAUGAUCUCAGCUUACCGCAACCUCCACCUCCUGGGUUCAAGUGAUUCUCCUGCUUCAGUCCCCCUAGUAGCUGGGAUUACAGACAUGCGCCACCAUGCCCAGCUAAUUUUUUUUUUUUUUUUUUUUUUUAGUAGAGAUAGGGUUUCUCCAUGUUGGUCAGGCUGGUCUUAAACUCCCAACCUCAGGUGGUCCACCCGCCUUGGCCUCCCAAAG